AGCAGUGCCAGGGGUAGGAUGGUAUUUCCCCCCCCCACUAAUUAUUAGCGUGAUGAUGAUGAUUUUUAUUAUUUUAAAUUUUUUUUUCGGCUUAAAAAAAAAAUCGAGAUUUUUUUUUUUUUUUUUUUUUUACCCCCCUCCCCGUCUCCUUGGGGUUGGAAUUCUUGGUUGCUUUGGGCAUUUUGGCAUUAAUGAGUUUACUGCUGCGUCUGGUUGCCGCCUCCUCUUCCCCACCCCUAGGGGCAAAACGCAAUGCAUUUCCUUUGCAGGAUGCGAUGAUGAGGGGGCACAAGCAGUUGUAAAUACCUUUUUUUUUUUUUUCAGCCCAAAAAAAAAACCCCAGAGAGAGACAGAUUCCUCCUCCAGCUUCCCCCAUCUCUUGCCCAAGCAGAGAAGAUCUGUUUUGCUUUUGUUUCCAUAUUUUUUCUCCCCUUUUUUUGUGUGUUUUUUUUCUUUUGUUUUUUUUUUUUUCUUUUCUUUCCUCUUUUUUAAUGUUUCUGUGGAGCUGAGCUGCAGCGUCAGUGGAUCAGAAAGAGGGAGAGACAGAGAAAAAAGAGAGAGAGUGUGAGAGAGAGGGAGAGGGGGAGACAGGAGCCUCUGAAGAAGCAGCAGCCACCGCAAACACAACUCUGAGCCAAGAGCACAAAGAGCCCCGACCAUUUCGCGGUGACUGAUUUAUGGCGUUUUACAACCCCAUAAAAAGCUGUAACAACCAGCCAAAAGCCUUCGACACCGCUGGCACAUUUAGUCUAAUAAAUAAAACAUAAACAGUUAA